GCUUCGGCUUCUUCAGCGACUACUUUCAACAAAAAGGAUUCACGCUAACAUUAUUACAGUGACUGUAAGUAAACAACAUGUGCUUCAAACUGCCUGUCUGCGGAGAGCAGGGAUGGUGAGGUCAUGGUGGGCCCGGAGGCGCCUUGCGUGAGUGAAGCUGCUGAGGCGAAGCAGGAUGCUGGGCUUAAUCAGGCCCGGUUUUAUGACGGCGGGGCCAAAGACUCCAUUAUGGAGGUAAAAGAAAGCAGUUCAAGACCGACAAAUCCUUUAUCUUCAUUUCUUUCAUUAUGCGAUGUAGAAAAAGGUUUUUUACUCAUAAAAAGGGAAUAAACUUGAUCACACGGACUUGAGUAAACUCUAUAAGCAGGUACUGCAGCUGGAAUUUUAAAAACCAGCGGAUUAAGUCACAUCCGUGCAGCUUGUGAAUGCAAUAAACCGCUUUAAUGUUCCCUCAAAUGUAUAUGUUUGCUAAAAUUGGGCUGCAAUAAAAAGAUCCUCUGUUUCAUUUU